GGGAGGAGUUAAAGCAAAAAUCAGCAGCUAAUGAGGGGCAAUCUGUAAACCACCAACCACCCCUUCCCCCAACCUUUACUCCUGUUCCAAGUGAAUUUCUGCUGCUAAGUUAUGGGUAGAAGCAAAAAACCACUUUGUGGAGGGAGAGGAAGGAAACCACGUCGCUCUAUGAUAAAAGCCUUGCACCUGGUAAAAAGCAACAGCCUGCUACCACUGCAGGUGGGGCAGGAAGCUUCCAGUUCCCAUUCCCAAGCAAAGAUAAUUUGCAGCUGAGAUUUGCAACAAGGACCCAGCACGGAUACAAAGCAGAGACAGGCUCUCACCACGGCGGGGGAGAGGACGCUCUCACAGGUCCAGAACCUCUCAACAGAUACAAGUCACCAAUGCUGCUCAUUGCAAUGUAUGGAGUGAAAGAGGCUGCCAUCGGUAUCCAGAAGAAGGUGUUACUUCGGUACCCAUACUCAUAAUCCAUAUGCUCCUGAAAUCAUGUGGAACAUGCAACUAGGACCUUCUGAACACGUAGCCUGAUUUACUUAUGAAGAAGCAAAUUCAACCAAGUGAUACGAAUUGUCUAAGGUCAUACAGUUAAUAACUUGUAAGAGCCCAGCACAGCACAGAUUUACAAAAUGAUACACAAAGACCUCAGAGAGUCUUGCUUUGUUGUCCAGGCUGGAAUGCAGUGGCUCAAUUUUGGUUCACUGCAACCUGCACCUCCCAGAUUCAAGUGAUCCUCCUGCUUCAGCCUCCCGAGUAGCUGGGAUUACAGUGGUACAUCCUGUAGUUGAGGGCUUCUUACACCUGAUGAAAUACCAUAGGUUCUGCAUGUCAGAUGGAGUCUCACUCUGUCACCCAGGCUGCAGUCCAGUAGCAUGAUCCCGGCUCACUACAACCUCUGCUUCCCGGGUUCAAGCAAUUCUCCUGCUUGUGAUUUCCUCCAUUUGGAUUAGAUAAGGACCAAUGAGAGGUGCAUAUUAUUAUCUACGUUUUACAGAAGAGAAAACUGAAGUUUAAAGAGUUUAAGUAAUUUUCCAAGAUGGUAGCUACUGAAUGCUGAGAUGGAGACAACCCGUGGCUUCUUGCCUCCCAGGCUUACCACAGUGCUCUACGGCCUCAGCUAAAAUAUCUCAAUGUUUAAAGAACAUAAAAGGUUUUCUUUUUGCUCAGUGUCAUAAAAGUGAUGACUCAUCCAACACUGGGUCAAAAAUCAAUCACCAUUCCUAACAUAAGGUAUCUGAAACAUGUAUUUUACUGAAUAUUGGAAACCUCACGUGUUUGUGUAUUUGGGUUCACCCAUAUAUGGUAACUAGUGACCAAGUAAUCAUCUGGCGCCCUGAGUAUUGGCAAACAUCUACAGGAUAAGGCUGUCUUUAAGUCAAAUAAAUUUGGAAAGUUUCAAGUCACCAAGUCUGCAUGGUCAUCUGCUCAACUCAUUUAUAAA
rnacentral:lncRNA from 1 species